GCUGCACAACUGGGAAAAUGAAGACUAAAUAAAUACGGGAUUAAUGUAAAAUAAAUGUUAUUUGAGAACUGGACUUUACUUGGCCUUAAUGCAGAAAUAUAUACAGAUUUACCAACAGCAUGAAUCAAGAAAAGUUAGCCAAACUUCAGGCUCAGGUCCGGAUAGGGGGCAAGGGUACAGCUCGUAGAAAGAAGAAGGUGGUACAUAGAACAGCUACAGCUGAUGACAAAAAACUUCAGAGUUCUCUAAAAAAACUGGCUGUGAAUAAUAUAGCUGGUAUUGAAGAGGUAAACAUGAUUAAAGAUGAUGGAACAGUUAUUCAUUUCAACAAUCCCAAAGUCCAAGCUUCCCUUUCUGCUAACACCUUUGCAAUUACUGGUCAUGCAGAAGCUAAACCAAUCACAGAAAUGCUUCCUGGAAUAUUGAGUCAGCUUGGUGCUGACAGCUUAACAAGUCUUAGGAAGUUAGCUGAACAGUUCCCUCGGCAAGUUUUGGAUAGCAAAGCACCAAAACCAGAAGACAUUGAUGAGGAAGAUGAUGAUGUUCCCGAUCUUGUAGAAAAUUUUGAUGAGGCAUCAAAGAAUGAAGCUAACUAAAAUCUUUUCUGGUUUUUGGAAGCUGGCAUGGACUAGAUUUAACAAAUCAGCUAUGUGGUUCCAAAGUUUUACAGACACGGAGAACAUCAACUGUUACUAUGGCCUGGUCAGCCAUUGGUAAUGCUCUUCCUCAUCUUCCACCUAGCCUCAGAAGGAUGUUCUCCAUAUAGAGUAAAGUGAGUGCCUAAUCCCUCUUUUUAAAGACUCUGUUCCUUUAUCUUGAGGAAUAACAGGUCCAUCUUCAACUUUUUAUUUCCCCCUUGCUUUUACAGUUUGGUAGAUUUCAAACUUGAAUAGCUAGCAUGUGCUUGCUAAUAUGCCAGCCUUAUUCUGUAUCCUAGUUGUUCUUAAUAGCAGGUGCAAAAAUGCCUCUUUUUUUUAGCAAGGUUGAAAUUGGGAAUGUCCUUUUGAAUCAGAAAAGAAUAGGCCAUAGACCAUAGACUCAUUCCCCAGCACAAAGGGCAUUCUAUGAAGUGUUACUGGCCUGAGGAGGAUUUCUUCAACCACUCUCCUACUCUGGCCUUGAACCUACCUCUAGAUUGGAUCUUACUAUUAUAGCUGCUUACAGCAUCCUCCUGCAUGCUUACUAGAAUAAUGCUUUGGGAAGAACACUGGUAAAACACAGUAUUUAUUUUUCACCUCC